GCGUUCGUCUCUCUCUCGCUCACUCGUUUCAUCCGUGAGCCAUGGCGCCGUAAGAGAAGAGUGGUCCUUGCGCAUAGGUGGGAGUGUGCCCGCGUGUGUGGCCCCUGUGAGCAACCGAGCACGCGCGCAUGCUCGGCCGCUUUUUUUUUGUCUCCUUUGUCGUUUGCUGUGCGGCGUGUGCUGACUUGCUUUUCUAGCACCGUGGGAUUUCUGUUUCUUCGUAAAAGGUGAUCGCCCCUUCACGCACUCGGCCCUCCCUCUCGCCACCAGCACCAUCGCCGGCGGCGCGCUCUUGCGUCGCUUUCUUUGACCUCUCCCUCUCCCUCGAGCUUCUCGAGCACCGUUUUUUUUGAGGGGACAGCAGGGCUCAAUCAAGGUACACACUCAAACACACUCACACAGGCAUCCAAGCUGUUUCCUACAUGACCACACAACAGCAGUGACCUAGAGGCGAGAGCCUCCUGCACAGCUAGCCAUUGUCUUGCGCGUGUGCCAUCAUAGCGCUUCCGUCUGGGCGUACGGAGAAGCUCUCACAACCACACAUGCACGCGCUCAGAAGGACUUGAGAGAGUGAGGACGUGGUCAUUCUUAUACCUGCACUGAAGGAGAGCAAGGCAAACAGCUGUGCAGAGCGGAAACCUGCAAAAGAAGGACAUCCCGCCGAGAGUGACGGUAGGUACGCAAUUUCGACGCUUUUCGGGGUGGCAAUGCGAGGCGCCCCGACGCCCACCCCGUUGGGUGCAACAAGACGCGGUGAAGGGCGACUAUGGCAUUGGCAGUAUGUCUUCUCUCUCGUGUCUGGUGCCUGCAAGUGUGCACUCUUCACGAUGUCAGCUCACCUCUGUCUUUCUCUCUGCUUCUUUCACGAGUCUGACCAUGGAGGAGUAGAUGCGGAGAGAGCGGAGACCCGUGAAGCGGUGUACGAAUGAGCGCGUGCGCGUUCGAGGGAGUGAAUAUACCUUAGUUGCGAAAUGCGUGCGCGCAUCUGUGCUGCUUCCAGUGUCCUGGGCACUAACUCUUCUCUACACUGUUAGCGUGCGCUUGUCUGUUUCUCUGUUGUGCGCGGGGGGGGCCUCUGGCGUGCCUUUUUGUGGUGGCUGUUCACGAGCUUUGUUGUCGUCUUCGUGUCUUAUAAUGGGCGGGGGACCCGCGUGGAGAGACAUGCUGCGGCGAUUUGAGUGCAGCCGUACGGUGUGAUGUGAACGAAGGCGAAACGACGUUUCGACAAAAAAAAUGAAAAAAAAAAGGUAAGCAGGCGAGGAUAGCGCGCAAAACAGUCCUGUCGUCCCUCCUUCUUUGCCCAACCCCAUCUCUUGAGUGUCGCUGCAUCGUACUGCAUCGCACUCUUUCUGUGCUGUGUUGCUCUGGUGGCGCUGACGCGUUGUAUGGCCGCGUGAGAGCGCACGGCGACUUGCUACCGCAGCAGAUGGUACGCCGGCGGGAUGUAUAGGCGCCUGAUGCGGGGCGGGGUGUUUCUUGUCCGAGCCCUGCUCGCACGCCGGCGACGCGUUUGCUUGUGUGUGUGUGUGUGUGUCUUCGCGCUCUUUGGUGCCGUUGUCGGAAUGUGUGAUGCCAUGUCGUCGUCCUCCUCCAUGCCUAC
rnacentral:misc_RNA from 1 species